UACGGAGGGUGCAAGCGUUAUCCGGAUUCACUGGGUUUAAAGGGUGCGUAGGCGGGCAGGUAAGUCAGCGGUGAAAUCUCCGAGCUUAACUUGGAAACUGCCAUUGAUACUAUAGAUCUUGAAUUUUCUGGAGGUAAGCGGAAUAUGUCAUGUAGCGGUGAAAUGCUUAGAUAUGACAUAGAACACCAAUUGCGAAGGCAGCUUUCUACAGGAAUAUUGACACUGAGGCACGAAAGCGUGGGGAUCAAACAGG
rnacentral:rRNA from 1 species